rnacentral:rRNA from 1 species
UGAGGAAUAUUGGUCAAUGGACGCAAGUCUGAACCAGCCAUGCCGCGUGAAGGAUGAAGGCCUUCUGGGUUGUAAACUUCUUUUAUGUGGGAAGAAACCCCCGAUAUCUAUCGGGGUUGACGGUACCAUAGGAAUAAGCACCGGCUAACUCCGUGCCAGCAGCCGCGGUAAUAUGGAGGGUGCAAGCGUUAUCCGGAUUCACUGGGUUUAAAGGGUGCGUAGGCGGGUUGGUAAGUCCGUGGUGAAAUCUCCAAGCUUAACUUGGAAACUGCCGUGGAUACUAUCAAUCUUGAAUAUCGUGGAGGUGAGCGGAAUAUGUCAUGUAGCGGUGAAAUGCUUAGAUAUGACAUAGAACACCCAUUGCGAAGGCAGCUCGCUACACGGUUAUUGACGCUGAGGCACGAAAGCGUGGGGAUCAAACAGGAUUAGAUACCCUGGUAGUCCACGCCCUAAACGAUGAUUACUCGACAUCAGCGAUACACUGUUGGUGUCUGAGCGAAAGCAUUAAGUAAUCCACCUGGGAAGUACGACCGCAAGGU